rnacentral:tRNA from 1 species
AAUAAAGUGGCUGAUUAAGGCGAUAAACUGUAAAUUUAUUUAUGGGUGUAACUCCUUUAUUA